rnacentral:rRNA from 1 species
AUUGAACGCUGGCGGCAGGCCUAACACAUGCAAGUCGAGCGGAGCGGCGGACGGGUGCGUAAUGCCUAGGAAUCUGCCUGGUAGUGGGGGCUAACGUCCGGAAACGGGCGCUAAUACCGCAUACUAUCAGAUGAGCCUAGGUCGGAUUAGCUAGUGGGUGGGGUAAAGGCCUACCAGGGCGACGAUCCGUAACUGGUCUGAGAGGAUGAUCAGUCACACUGGAAUGGGGAAACGGGCCAGACCCCUACGGGAGGCAGCAGGGGGGAAUAUUGGACAAUGGGCGAAAGCCUGAUCCAGCCAUGCCGCGUGUGUGAAGAAGGUCUUCGGAUUGUAAAGCACUUUAAGUUGGGAGGCGUUACCAACAGAAUAAGCACCGGCGAACUUCGGGCCAGCAGCCGCGGUAUAC